rnacentral:rRNA from 1 species
GCAUAAUCAUUUGCCCCCUAAUUAGGGGCUAGCAUGAACGGAUAAACGAGAUUAUGACUGUCUCCUUUAUACCUAUAAAAAUUAAUCUACAGGUGAAGAAGCCUGUUUUUAUAUAAAAGACAAGAAGACCCUGCUGAGCUUUAAUUAUUUAUAAAAUUCAUCAAUACCUAUCAAAUAAUUCCUCUUAUAAAUAAUUUUUGUUGGGGCGACAGUGGAGCACACAAACCCUCCACCAUACCUAAAACACCAAGUUUCCCAAAAGAUCCUCUAUAGAUAUUAGGCACUAGCUACCACAGGGAUAACAGACUAAUCUUCCUUAAGAGCCCAAAUCUACAGGAAGGCUUGG